AUGGACUCGGUCUCGCCUCUGUCUCUGUCCUUGAACCGCCAUCAACAGGCGCGCCUCAACUGCCGUGCAGCCACGGCCCCUGUUGUACUGGCGCUUCUCCAACCCGCCGUUGAUCCAACCGCAGCCUCGAUCUACCUCGACUGGGUCGCCGCUUCCUCCAAACUGCCCAAACCUCCACGACCUCCCGCCGUCGUGACUCGCCAUGGCCAGGACUCGUCCAUUGACCGCGCCCGCGCCCUCGCUUCAAGCCGGCCUCCGCCACCGUUCCGACCCCAGGCCAGCGACCGGCGAACCGCCAUCCACGGAGCGGCCCCGCCAAAUCGCUGCCGGGUCACCACCGAGCGCCCCGCCAUAUCGCCGCCGGGUCACCGCCGAGCGCCUCGCCAAAUCGCCGCCGGGUCACCGCCGAGCGCCUCGCCGAAUCGCCGCCGGGUCACCGCCGAGCGCCUCGCCGAAUCGCCACCGGGUCACCAUGGAGCGGCCCCGCCAAAUCGCCGCCAGGUCACCCUCGCAGUGCCCUGCGCCGCCGCGUCGGCUGGCUUUGAGUCGUCACUCGCCGACCGUGCCUUCCGCCGGCCAUGCCAGUCUUCCACAUGCUGUUGCACUGGUUGGAGCCGACCCAGCCUCCCUUUGAGUCGCUGCCGUGCGCCUCUCCCCUGCUGCGAGAGCCGCCCCAUUGUUGUGAAUCGCCGACACCGUCUCGUUUUUACCCUUGAACCGGAUGUUGCAGCGGUCACCGUCGCCUUCCCGUCAGAAUCACCACCGCCCUCAACUCCUGCUCUGCACGCCCGCACUGAACACGGCCGGGUCAUACCACCCGGACUGAGUCGCCGCUCCGGCCGGCUCCGGCGCGCCCCCGCUGGCUCACCGCUUCUCCAUUCAAGCUUACCUGCGCCCGGCGUGGCCCGGCGUCCCGGCCUCCAGUGCUUCCUUUUUUCACAUGGUUUGACUAGUUUCCAUGAAGUCGUCUCGCCUCCGCUCGCCGACCCGCCAUGA
rnacentral:rRNA from 1 species